GUCGAUGACAUGGGAACAGCAGACUUGUGAAGAUGGCUUGAUUAGCUGA
rnacentral:snoRNA from 1 species